AAGUUUUCCCUUCAUUGUCGGAAGCUUAGGUAUUUGUCUUGUUUGAAAUUUUGGGUUGCACUUGCAAUUAUGCGAAAUGUUCGUGAGAUUGAAGUUUAUCUUCCGUUUGGCAAUCCAUUUGAAGAGGGUUACAAGCCUGCUGAGCUACCUGACUGCAUCUACAAUUCUGAAACACUUGAAAUUUUGAAACUAGAAACAGAUUUUCUAUACAAGAGCCCUUCCUCUGGGAUUUGUUUUCCAAGGGUCAAGAAAUUUCAUGUUGAAAUACAUAAGCCCAACAUGCCUGACUUUUCUAUCUGUCCUGUACUUGAAGAUUUGUCAAUUGUUGCAUACUUGCUAACUAAUGAUUGGAAGGCCAAUAUUAGUAUUUCGUCUCAAACUAUAAAGAGGUUAAACUUGUUGAUAGAGAGAUAUAUGGGUUUCAGUAAUGAGCACCAGGUUAUGAUUGAGGCUCCAAAACUAGAACAUCUCUUCAUUAAAGAUCAUACAUUGGUAUCUUAUCUGGUCCAUGAAUUACAUUCAUUAUGUGAUGCACACAUUGAGAUUAACUAUUCAGGGGAACGUGAUCAUCCGAGUCAAGCUGAUCGUGCACUACAGCUUCUCAAAAAGCUCUCAAAUCUUCAGUCUCUAUACUUAUGUGAUGGCACCAUAUAUGUAAGUUCUCUGUCUGCUUUAUGUUAUGCAUAUUUUAAACUUUAAUAUUCUUCUUACUUCCUCUCUUUUUUGUUUUUAAUAUGAUUAUGUUACAUAGUUACAUAUUUUUCUGGUAAUGUGUAAUAAAAGUUAUUUUGGAACUCAUUGGUGGAACAAUUUCAAUUCCUCAAGUUAAUAGUCGCUAGAAAUUUUAAUUAUUGUCUUUGUCUCAAUGAAAGGCACUUGGUGAAGCCUAUCAGUAUUUGUAUGAUGCUCGUCAAUAUUUCCUUCCCACAUUUUCCAACUUGUCUUUCUUGGAAGUGAGGACUCGAGAAUAUGGAGGGUGGAUUCUUCCGAUCAUCUUCAGUUGUUCGCCUAACUUGGAAACUUUUGUCUGGAUGAUGGUGAGGAUGUGAUAAACUAUUUAAAUAAAGGGUAUUUAAGUUGUUUUUAUAUUUAUUUCUUUGUAAUCAGGCCACAGAUGACCCUGAAGACGAUGUAGAAGUUGAGUGGAUAGAACCGCAGUUCGUGCCCUACUGUUUGCAGUUUAAUGUCAAGAAGAUUGAAAUUCUGUAUCACGAUGAUGAUCCAUUGGAACCAGUCAAGUAUUUAUUGAAGAAUUGUGGAGUUUUGGAUAGAAUGAUCUUUAGAUAUGUUGGAGAAUCUUCCAAUGAACUUUGCAAGGAAUUAUUAAUGUUUCCAAGAGGCUCAAAGACUUGUGAGGUUGAAUUUCGUGGAAAGUAUAGGGAUUGAGCGACUUGGUUAUUUUGAAUUGGUGAUUUUGGUCGGGUGAUGCUGUAAAAAUUGCUGGUGAUUUGCAUCAGAACUCUAUUGUAGAUGAUAAAAAUAUGAUUUCUUUUGUAAUGUAAAUGCAUUGUUUACUGUGCCAUUUUUUUUCUUUUUUUUCCCUAAAAAAAUCUUUUUGAAGCUUCUCUUAAUUUUUUUAACGGUUUUGCCUAAAAAGGAUAUAUCAUUUUAUUGAAUAUUUGAGUCUCAUGGCAUGGACUAAAAUUUUCGUCUCACAUUUAGAAAUGAAACCUUCUUUUUUUUUUUUUUUCAGUUGAUAAUCUCUAACUACAUUGAAAAUAGCUUACCAAACUAGAGACAGAAGAAAAUCUCUGACGAAACACUUAACAUUGAUAUUUAAAACAUUUUAAGUCAAAAUUGAAAAUCUGUAUCACAGAAAUUUCGACUUAUUUUAAUUUUAUAAAUUUUUGUGUCAAUUAGGCAUGACUAGUAUGAUUUUUUUAGCCAUCCUUUAUUCACGUCUUAUCCUGAAGCUGACUUUUGGAGCAAAUCCGUGCUGCCUCUCUGUGCUUUUGAGGUAAUUCAAUUUAAAUUUAAAUAUUUGCUACUGUAAAAGUUGAAUUCAAUUUAUCUAAUGUCAUACUUCUGCUGUAGAUAAGAAAAUUUUGUAUUUGUAGGUUCGUAGUGUAGGCUUCAUAGAAGAUCAAUCCGCCGAUGCUCUUGAAGUAGAUUUUGCAAACAAAUAUAUUGGGCGUGGUGCUCUUCAUAGGGGCUGUUUGCACGUAAUAUUUUUUGUUAACAAUUUCACUGUGACUUCCUUAGUGGUCCAUACUUAAAUUAGGUCUUUUCCUUCACCUAUUCUUAAAUAUAUUGUUCCAUGUAUUUGUUACUUCUGCAUGAAUGCCUUCUCAUUUAAAUUGCUUUCCUUAUUUCCCUUUGCCUAUGUCAUGUGGAUCAUUAGGGUCUUGAAAUAUCACUCAACAUAAAAUAUUUAAAUCCUAAUUUUAUUUGUUGUCAAUGCCAUUUUAUCUAGGAAGAGAUUCGUUUCAUGAUCAGUCCGGAGUUAAUUGCUGGGAUGCUUUUCUUGGCUUCCAUGGGUGAUAACGAGGCUAUAGAAAUAGUUGGUGCUGAAAGAUUCUGUGAUUACAAGGGGUGAGUCUAAUGCAGUAAAUCAGAAAAUCCAAGACUUGAGUCACUGGGGACAUAGAUACACAAUAGGUUGCUGAAUCUAACUUUAUGUAUUUCUUUUAUGUACAUGCCUUGACUUAUGCUGUGGUUGAUUUCUGAUUAUAAUAUCAUCUUGAAGUUGUGUAGGUAUACUUCGUCAUUUCGUUUUGCGGGUGAUCCUGCAGACAAAAAGCAUUUUGACAGUUUUGGAAGACGUAAAACCAGGAUCAUUGCUAUAGAUGCAUUAUGCUGGCCUGGGAUGAAACAAUAUGCAUUAAAAUACCUUCUUCGGUGUGUAAAAUUUGCUUUGGAGCACCUCGAGAACACUGAGAACUAUUAGAAAAUAAAUGUGUUUGCUUAAUGUAGUUCAAAGGGAUAAUCAUUUUCAAAUCUUCAUCUGGAUUUCUAUGACAUGAAUUUAAUAGGUUGCUGUACUGCUCGUAGUCUUGUCCUAUCACUGAUCUACAAAUAUGGAAUGAUCUUACAAAGAUCAGCCAGUGGCUUUAUUCUAUAUUUUGCGGCCUAGGAUAUAUAUAGUAUAAUAAGGCGUUGUUGUUCCAUGGACUAGUUAAUCAAAAUUAACUUCAUUUUUGGUUGUUUUUUUUUUUUUGGGGGGGGGGGGGGGGGGGGGGGGGGGGGUUAGUGAUUGUCUUCGCUCAACUUGUUUCUCUUGAUAGGGAGACAAAUAAGGCCUUCUGUGGGUUCAUUGAUCAAUAAAAUAUUGCCAGUACAAGGGUUUAUUUCAAGGCAAAGGACUUCAUGAAGCUCAUCUCUAUCCAGAUGAAAAUGACCACAUAUCGAGGAAUCAUCUCGAGGUGCAAAUUGUUUUCUUGAACUUUUUGUCUGGUAAUAUAAUCGUUAAUCAAAAAUCAUAUAUCAGAAUGUCAAAAAGAUUCUUUCUGAUGCAUUAUUAUUUGAAGCGUUUGUAAUUCUCAGAAGACUAAAUUUUCUUUGUAAUAUAGUUCAAUGAAGCUUCCUCAUUUACUGUUGAAACAAAUCAAGGAGCUUAUGUAAAUCAGCCAGCACUCAAAAAUUCUGAUGGGAAGAGUAUUCAGCAUUGGGAUAGUAAAGAUUUGCCAGGGAUUGCUACUGGGAAUUGGGGAUGUUGUGCUUUCAGGGGUGAUCCUGAACUAAAGACUAUAAUUUAGUGGCUUGCUGCUUCUCAGGUAGUUAUUCUCAUCUGAAUACUGUUAAAUGUUGCUACACAGACGCUCACACACACACAACUUAAUUGCACGAAGCAUAUCUUCUCUCCGGUGGAAAUGUUGUUGGACCAUAAGUAAUUGUGUUGGAAGUUUCUAGCGUGUGAAUGGAGGAUCUCUCAAGGGUUUUAUAUAUUAAUGUGGAGAUAUUGUUAUUAUUUGUUUGAAAUAAAGCAGAGGAACAUCUUCUCUUGUCGCUCAUUUCCUGUUUCUCUUUGAUUUAGGCAUUGCGACCUUUCGUUUUAUACUACACAUUUGGCAUCGAGGCAUUGCAGAACUUAGAUCAGGUACUCGUUCCAAUCCUUCCAUCAUCAGCACUUGUGAAUGUAUUAUCAUUAUGAAUCCUCCACGCUGCAUCUAGGUCUUCCACGUAUUGUUUGCUCCUGUUCUUUCUGAAUCUUGGACACGCAUAUUGCAUCACAUUCUCAUCUGAAUUGAUGAUCUUGUGGUGCAGAUUGCGCAGUGGAUUCUGUCGCAUGAAUGGACGGUCGGAGACCUUUGGAAUAUAACGGUGGAGUACUCUUCCCAAAAAUUGAAUGGACGAACCGAUCUUGGCUUCUUUGCUUGGCUCCUCGCAUCCUUAGCUUCCCAUAACUUGUCUAAUACAAAUAAAGAUUGUGUACAUGAAACAUGCAAAUUUUUUAACAGUUACAUAUGUAAAUUAAACAUGUAAAUUGCUGUGCAACGUUAUCAGUAAUUAAAUUUGAGUUUAGAAUUUUGUUUAGAAAAAGACCAUUAUUGUCAUCUUUUCUCAAUAAAAUUUGUAUACAAAUAAAAGACCGUUAUUGUCAUUUCAAAAAAAAAAAAAAAAAAAAAAAACCGCACCCGUAUAUAAAAAAAUUAAUGCUCUCCAAGAAUUAUAGAUCAACUAAUGAAGGGAAAAAUCAUCAAUUUAAUUUUUAGUAUUUAAAUUUAUUAAUGUUAACAGAAUUGGAGUGUCAUCAGCGUGUUUAUUUUUUAGGGUAAUUUUUAAAAACCUCUCUUGAGGUUUGGGCUUGUUGCAAGUAGAUGGCGAGAAUUUGUUUAUUUGUAAAAAAUCCCCUACCGUCAGUCAACUUUAACAUUGACCGUUAGUUGACUGUGCAAAGAUAAUAUUACCCUUAACAACAGUUUGUAGACAGAAAUAACUAAAAAACAAUUAAAAUUGUUGGUUAUUUUACCCUCUUUAAAUUAUUGAUAUUUUCUUAAAGUUCCUACAAGAAAGAUAAAAUUAAAAAUUUGAAAAAUCCUAUUUAAAUUAUUGAUAUUUUCUUAAAGUUCUUACAAAAAAGAUAAAAUUAAAAACUUGAAAAUGAAAUAGUUAUAAUCUUUACUUAUGAUAUUGUAAAUCUUUGGAAUUGACAAGGAUAAAAUUGUCAAAAAAUAGGGUUUGUGCUUUUCGCGCCAACAAUUUUAAUUUUUUUUUAGUUAUUUCCGUCUACAAACUGUUGUUAAAGGUAAUAUUAUCUUUGCACAGUCAACUAACGGUCAAUGUUAAAGUUAACUGACGGUAGGGGGUUUUUUACAAAUAAACAAAUUCUCGCCAUCUACUUGCAACAAGCCCAAACCUCAGGGGAGGUUUUUAAAAAUUACCCUUAUUUUUUAAUAAAUGUUGAAAUAAAUAUAUCUUAAGUGACAUUAAUUUUAUUUUUUAAUAAUUAUAUUAAAAAAUAAUGUUAAAGUUUCUAAAAUUUAAAAGUUUUAUAUUUAAAAUUCUUUUAAAUAUUUUGGAAUUAUUUUCUAAAUAUAUUAUAUAAAUUAAUUACUAAAGAAGUUAAUAUAAUAUAAUAUAAUUAAAAAUUAAUACAAUAAAAUAUAGCAUCAAAAGUUAUACAAUAUUAUUAUAAAAUAAUACUAAUUAAAUACAGAAUAAUAUAAUAUAUUUAUAUUAAAAUAAUAUAAUACAACAUAACAUGGUAAGGUGUGUUAAAUGCACCCUUAGUAUAUAGUAUAUGCAAUUGUUGAAAUCGUAUUCACCGUGUUUAAUUUGCAAUUGUAGGGCUGCCCACACCGGGUAACUUACUUAUUAAGACAAAAAAGAAAUCUAUAAAAAAAAUUAAUAAUAAUUAAUAGGGUCCGGUUACGGUGCAAUGAUGAUACAGUAUUACCGUUGCAUCCAGCCGUUGGAUCUACGUGGAUGAAUGGAUCCACUAAAUGUAAACGGUAAACCCCUCCCAAAAAUUUCUGGAAAAAGGAAAAAAAUCAAAUUGAAGGAAAUUUUGAAACCCGUCGCAGCCAGAGACCGGCUCGUCGUCGCCUGCGGCCUAGCCUUCCGUGAAAAUAGAGUAAGUAAUCUUUUUUCUCUCCUUCUACUCUCCACCGGCACCAUAUUCAUAAAUGGAUACUGGCAAAAUAACUUUUAAUUUUUUAUUUAGCUUUUAGCAUACUUGAGUAUUAUCUUUACUUUGAACAACAGUGAUGGAUAGAAUAAAAUUUUAAUUGAUUUAUUAUUAUAUGGGAUGGAAGAGUUUAAAUCGUAGGAUCCCACGUUGUGUAUUCUCAAUUGUUGUUAAGCUCUGCAGCUUUCUUAACUAUCAAUAUGAGUUUCACGAAAGACCCAUUAUUAAUCUAACUGAAAAAUGCUUCCUUUUCGGUUUUAACACUGUGUUUAUUACAUCUUUCAGGUUGGUUGAUAACUUUCACGAUGAAUAACUCAAAAUCACGUAAAGUUGGUAAGAUAAAUAAAAAAGAUAGGAUAAGUUGUAUGCCGGAUUCGAUCCUUUGCCAUAUUCUUUCAUUUCUGUCCACAGAAGAUGCUGUUCGAACUAGCAUUUUAUCUUCAAGAUGGAAGCUUGUUUGGGCUUCUCUUCCCAAUCUUAUGUUCAAUGACAAGUUAUGCUACAGACGUGAUGGUACUUCAGAUAAUGGUGCGAUGACGAGGUUUGAGAAUUUUGUUGACAGGAUGCUUUUGUCCAACUCGGUAAGCAUUAGCAAGUUUUCCCUUCAUUGUCAGAAGAAGCCCAGGUAUUUGUCUCGUCUGAAAUUCUGGGUUGCACUUGCAAUUAUGCGAAAUGUUCAUGAGAUCGAAGUUAAUCUUCCGGUUGACGAUCCAUUUGAAGAGGGUUACGAGCCUGUUGAGCUACCUGACUGCAUCUACAAUUCUGAAACACUUGAAAUUUUGAAACUAGAAACAGAUUUUGUAUUCAAGAGUCCUUCCUCUGGGAUAUGUUUUCCAAGGGUCAAGAAAUUUCAUGUUGAAAUAUAUAAGCCCAACAUGCCUGACUUUUCUAUU
rnacentral:lncRNA from 1 species